GUGCAGCAGGCGCGAAAACUUUACAAUGCUGGAAACAGCGAUAAGGGGACCUCGAGUGCCAGGUUACAAAUCUGGCUGUCGUGAUGCCUAAAAAGCAUUGCAUAGCAAGGGCCGGGCAAGACCGGUGCCAGCCGCCGCGGUAACACCGGCGGCUCGAGUGGUAACCGUUAUUAUUGGGUCUAAAGGGUCUGUAGCCGGCCGGAUAAGUCUCUUGGGAAAUCNNGCAGCUUAACUGUNNGGCUUUCAGGAGAUACUGUCUGGCUCGAGGCCGGGAGAGGUGAGAGGUACUUCAGGGGUAGGG
rnacentral:rRNA from 1 species